GAUAGGCAAACCUAGGUAAACCUAGGGACGCAAAGCUAUAGGGACUAAAGUAUCGCAAGACACUAUGUCAGCCAGUUGCCAA
rnacentral:ncRNA from 1 species